UACGGAGGGGACUAGCGUUGUUCGGAAUUACUGGGCGUAAAGCGCACGUAGGCGGAUUUGUAAGUCAGGGGUGAAAUCCCGGGGCUCAACCUCGGAACUGCCUUUGAUACUGCAAAUCUCGAGUCCGGAAGAGGUGAGUGGAAUUCCUAGUGUAGAGGUGAAAUUCGUAGAUAUUAGGAGGAACACCAGUGGCGAAGGCGGCUCACUGGUCCGGUACUGACGCUGAGGUGCGAAAGCGUGGGGAGCAAACAGG
rnacentral:rRNA from 1 species